rnacentral:lncRNA from 1 species
CUUCACCUUGGGACCUUUCAGAUGCAAAUCAAAGUCAGGCAUGGAGAUCUUGGGGGCUUUGAUGUUCAUCUCAGGCAUCUUGAAUUUAGGGCCCUUUAGUUUCGCAUCUGGACCUUCGAUAUUCACAUCAGGAACAUCAAUGUCCACCUUGGGUCCUGAGACGUCAAGGUCAGCCUUGGGCAGGUUCACAUCCACUUCAGGGCCCUCUGCUUUGAAGCCAGGCAUGCUGAACUUGGGCAUUUUCAUCUUGGGCAUCUUCAGGUGCCAGUCUGGGCCAUGAACAUCCACAUCUGGGGCAUCAAUGUCCAUUUUGGGUCCUUUGAUGUCAACAUCUGGCACUUUCAUUUCACCUUCUACCUUGGGCACAGACACAUCCAUAUCCCCUUUGACUUUGGGGCCUUUCAGGUGUAAGUCCACAUCAGGCAUGGAGAUCUUGGGGGCCUUGAAGUGCAUCUCAGGCAUCUUAAACUUGGGCCCUUUCAACUUUGCAUCAGGACACUCCAG